GACGUAGGGGGCGAGCGUUGUCCGGAGUUACUGGGCGUAAAGGGCGCGUAGGCGGUUCUGCAAGUCGGUUGUGAAAACAUCAGGGCUUAACCCGAUGCUUGCAUCCGAUACUGCAGAACUUGAGGAAUGGAGAGGAAGCUAGAAUUACUGGUGUAGCGGUGAAAUGCGUUGAUAUCAGUAGGAAUACCGGUGGCGAAGGCGGGCUUCUGGCCAUUAUCUGACGCUGAGGCGCGAAAGCUGGGGGAGCAAACAGG
rnacentral:rRNA from 1 species